rnacentral:lncRNA from 1 species
AUAUCUCCUUAUCCUUUAUCAGAAAAAAAUGAAAACUCCUUAAACAAAAAAAAAAAAAGAAAACUCCGCGUUGCAACUAUUUGAUAUAGACACUGUUGAGGAUGUAAUAAUGGAACAACUUUCUAAAUAUAAAGGUUCCCCACCAGCAAAGGAAAUAUAGUAGACGACAACUUCGUAAAAUAAUGUUCUGAAUAAAUCUAUAUUGCAAUGAUGUAUUUUUUUAAUUGAAAUUUUAAUCAUCCAGAUAAAUAGAGAUUCAGAUUCGAUUAUAAGCCCGAGUUAAACAAAAAUUUCAAUUCUAAAUAUUAUAACCUUAAUUUCGUACCUACUUAAUCAAACACAUUUCUCUUUUUAUUAUUUUUAGGAAUCAGUC